GACGAACGCUGGCGGCGUGCUUAACACAUGCAAGUCGAGCGGUAAGGCCCUUUCGGGGGUACACGAGCGGCGAACGGGUGAGUAACACGUGGGUGACCUGCCCUCAGCUCUGGGGAUAAGCCUGGGAAACCGGGUCUAAUACUGGAUAUGACUCCAUGACGCAUGUUGUGGGGUGGAAAGCCUUGUGCGGCUGAGGAUGGGCCCGCGGCCUAUCAGCUUGUUGGUGGGGNGAUGGCCUACCAAGGCGACGACGGGUAGCCGGCCUGAGAGGGCGACCGGCCACACUGGGACUGAGACACGGCCAGACUCCUACGGAGGCAGCAGUGGGAAUCUUGCGCAAUGGGCGAAAGCCUGACGCAGCGACGCCGCGUGAGGGAUGAG
rnacentral:rRNA from 1 species